UUUGACCAUUUCCGUAAAGUUGUCAGAGCAAUCUAAUAUUACAAUUUUAAAAUUGUUUAAGGUACACAUAUCCAAGUUCCAAGUCAAAGACAUAAGAUUCAAGCAUCUACAAGAUGUAUCAUCAAGACGGAAAUUUUGUGACAGAUUGGAAAAACUGCUUCCCCAGCUGUGUUCCUUGAGUGAAAGUUUAAAUUCAGAUACUACAGCCGACCAAUUAUCUUUGAGUGUUGCAUCA